GUCCAGAAGCCACCUGCUCAGCUUAUACUAGUUAUAGAAGGCAGAGAUGGAAAGGUGUUCUUUGUGACGGCAGCAGUGCAGCGCGCUGCUCAACGAAAUAUCGGUCACGGAUUUGCAGUCGUUACAAUCUGCUGGUUACGGCUGAGUGAACUAGUUCAUGGGUGAAUGAACGGCGCAAGAAGACUACAUCUGUCCAAUGUCUUGUUUGAUGUGUCGAAGAAGCAAGCCAGUUGUCUCGGCCGCAGAACACGCGCCAACUUUACCAAGAAAAAUGAAUCCGGUGGUGUUCGUUGUCCAGCGAAUUCUGCAGUGCCCGAGGACUAGGGUGACUCCAGAAAGAGUGAGCCACUAUGGCGUGGCGCGCAGCAAUGGUCCUAAUUGCGUUCCUGGCACUGGCAGCGGAUCGUCAGUGCUGCAGUGGGAGUGAAAACGUGACCUUUGAACAGAAUUGUACAAGUGGAGACUUGCAAAACACACCCAACACUACACCAAGCAAUGCCUUUCAUCAGGCAAUGCAGACAAACACAUUCAAAUUUGAUGCAACGUCGAACAAGUGUGUUAUCACUUCCCAAUAUAAAUGCAACCCUGGAUAUGGUUUCAGGAAAGGCAGUGCCCAGACUGAUUGGGGUCAGAAAAUCAAGUUCGAAUCAAAUGAUGGCAUUGAGUGGACUGUUCAGAAGGAAUGUACUGAGAUCACUACAUAUUGCCCAGAGCCUGAAAGUGUGCUGAAUGGAAUGCUGGUUGACACUGACAACACUGGCCGUACACUAGGUUCAACACGUACUUUCCGGUGUCAAGAUGGAUACAUGCUGGGAGCUGAAAGUAAUGCUGUCAUAACAUGUAUUGAAGAUAUGGGCAGAACGGGGCUCUGGACACAGCUUCCUGUGUGCGAAGGUGAAUAAACUAUUACAAGUGAUUCUAUUUUGGAAAUACAUACAUUUUUUGUUUUAUUUCCAGUUAUCUU